AAUCACGGCCUCGCCGUGCUGGGGCGGGAGAGGCCCUCGGCGGGGCGCAGGCCAGGACGCGCCCGUCUCACGAGGCCGGUGGGUGACUGUGCUGCCCGCUCUUGGGCCCUUUCAAGGGUUGUGGCUUGGGUCUGAUGUUUGGUGGCGGCGCUGAUGUUGCUCGCCGUCAGCAUGUGUGGCUUCUUGUGCCCAGCAGGAGGAGCUUUGCUUCAUCCUAGAGGCAGAUCCUCUCAGUGUAGACUGUAAUACUGUACACUCUAGAGGCUUAAACUAACGUCGAAGAAGCUGAUGGGGUGAAUGAGAUGGUAUAAGACCUUUCAGCAUGGUGUGGAAGCAGCCAGGUUAACUUGCAUCUGUAUUUUCUUACCUGCGUUAGCUGUCUAGUGUUGGUAUGGUUUAGCCUGCUGAUCAGCUUUUAGAUGCUCUCUUGGGUUCAGCAAGCCCUUGCACCCAGCAUACCUUCUGGCUGGUUUGGAGGACAGAGGCUAGAUUUUGAGCAGUGGGUUGUGAUUUCUCAGACUGAACAGUCAUGCCUGAUCAUACCAGGCUCCCUGCUGGGGAGUAGGAAAUGAUCCUUCUGUCAAACUGGAGAUUAGUUAAAUAUCUGUUAAUUUUUAGGAGCUUGGUGUUCCUUUGCUAGUCCUGAAAUGAUUUGUGGAGGAUCUUAACUCAAAACUGGGAGGGAAGGCAGACAUUGUUUGAAGGCUUGUAUGGUUUGUGAAAUAAUGCGUGUGUAAAAUAAUACGGUUUCUAGUCACAGCAGAUUCCUGUGAAAUAAAGUGCUUUAUUGCUUCAAGAAGAUACUUCAUUGAAAGGAGUUAAGAAGAGUUAUAUGGGCUUCCUGGAAAUUCUGGCUAAAGCCACGUAGUGGUGGAGUAGCUUAGGAAAAGGGGGUUAUAGCUUUAUGUUUUUAAAAUACUUUGGCUUUUCCUGGAGUGGUGCUUCUCUGGGGAAAAGGCAUGGAAACAUUGUUUUACAAGUACAGUUCUUUCAAUGCUUCAGUAUUUCUUCAGUCUUUCAGAUGUUUCUUCAUCUGAAGAUACUGCUGAUACCAUAAUUGCUAUAGCCCGUUGAAAUGUGGAAAUAAGGAAUUGACUUAAGCAACUGCCCAGGUGAAUGCCUAAGGCAAGAGACAAGUAUGGUAGAAUUCUGCGUGUUUUAUAGGUCACUUUCAUCAGUUCAGGGGUGCCUAAUAUUUGUCAGUGUGUGGAUUUUGCUUGUAGAUUACAACUUGUCAGAGGUUCUAACGAUGAAGCCUGUGUCACAUGUCUGAAACCUGCAUAUUCUUAUCACACUGUUCAUUUAGAAAGUGCUAAUGUCAAAGUCUCUUUUGUGACCCGACAGGUCUUAAUUGCAAGAUCCGUAACGGGCACACAAACAGGCUGCAGACUGUGGAAAUACCCGUUGUUUCAACACUUUAUAUAAAAGGCUUAAAGUGACACGAAGGCUGCCUUUGGCAUUUCUUAAAUACGUAGGUGGAGUCUGUUUUAAUGCCAUCUGUGAAAACUUAAUCCACCCGAUGGUCGUGAGGCUACUAUGCUGUUGCAUUUGUUUGUACUUGGACUUAGCAUCCUAUGCUGCAGAUCCUGCAGAUUGUCUUUGCUACUAAAGUGAUUUUAGCCAUGUGGGUCUUGGGUAAGCAGCCACCCAGUGUCCUGCAAGCCCCAGAAGAGGUUGGAUGCUCCUGCAGGAGGGAUAGGGAGGAUGAGGAUAUGUAAAAACAUGUAGCUACUCUGUUUGUCUUCUCAAAUUGCUUAGUCGAGGUCAUAUGUAGGAAUCUGGCUUCAUCUCUCAGCUUUCAUUCUGACAAGUUACUUCUUUUUAUGGAAACUUCAGGGGGUUAGCUGCUAUAAAUUCAGCCUUUACUAGAUAAUUAUUAAAAACAGGUCUGCAGACUGGAUGAGAAAUACAUGUUUGAGGUUAAACAUACACAAAAUAAGAAAGGUUGAACCUUUUACCUUCACCUGAACUGUGAAUUAGGCUGUAUCAUAAUGUAAUUUUAAGUGUUUGAUACCACAAUAUCAACAUCCAUGUCAGUGCACCACAGCAAAACUGCUGUCAAAAUGGUGAUUUCAGAGUUCCUGCAUAUUAAUUGUCAGUCCUUAUGUAAAUUCUUGCUACAUAAGUUAGCUGGAGUGAAAAUUUGUGUGCACUCAAAAAGUGGAGGAUUGUUGUUAAAGACUUGAUGAUGCUGACUGACUUGAACUGUGCUAGUCUUGGCACAUAAAAUACCAUAAAAUGCAGUUUUCUAAGUUACUCAGCCAUGAAACUUUGUAAGAGCUGCCCAUACUUUCUUGGUAAGGGUAUGGACUGGGAAAGAAAAGUGAGAGUUGAGAAACUUACAGACCAUUGCCUUUUAGAGCCUGUAAUGAGGGAAAGGGGCAGAUUAUUUAGCUUUCAAAUUUCUGCUCUGGUUUUAGAAGCUGAAGAAACUGCUCUUAAGGCUUUUGAUAUAUAAUGGCUCCACAUGGCUUCAGGAUGGUUUCCUGAAGAGUUAUUGGGGCUGCAAAGUAACUGAGUCAAUUCAGCAUGAGAUAAGUACUUUUAUAUACUACAUGAAUACUUUCAUAUGGUGUUAUUGUUUCCCAGUAUCUUAAUGAUAGCAAUAUAGAAAGAAAAGUAUGUUUUUAAGUACCUUACUGUCUACUCUGUUCUUAAGGAGAAAGUUUGGAAAAAUACAGGUAAGAGAAAAAGGCUUCUAUCUUCCUUCUUAGUUCUUUGACUUUGGGAAAUUCUAGUGAGGCAAAUGUUUAAACCAGUUUCUAGAACAUAGGAUUCCAGGGUAGCUGAAAGCUUACAUAGAGUUUCUCUGAAAUAAUUGUAGUAACUGAUGAAAACAAGAUACUAACAGUUACAUGUUUGUUCUUUCUCUCUCCCCUUCUCUCUCUUUCAGCACAAGAACAGUGCUUUAACAACUGUGAAGAGCUUUAAGUAGCAUGGACAUGUUCUCUAACUGAAACAUGGCAGCACUUCAAUAGCAGUUAUAUAACAGGAAAGGAGGUGCAAGCUGCUGCAAGUCCCUGGAUUCAUAGGAACUGGUUUCUGAAAGAACUGAUUUUUAUCACAGAUAAAAACUCAGAUUCUUUCAGAAUUUUUAACUCCUGUUGACUUCAGAUGAGACCUAAUGGCAGUACUGAAUCAGGAAAUUACUUCUAUCCUGGGCACUGGGGAAGGGGAUCCAAAUAGGAGAUUUAUAAAUGCUAUUCACUGUGAUGGGCCUGGGGGAAAACAGGCCAUCCAAAUGUAAGAGAUUGCAGAUGUGAAACUUGCUCCUGGGAAAAGCACACUAGUAUUGCCCAGAACUGGCUAAACAGAAGAAACUUUGGAAAUUGUGUGUGUUGUGCUGCUCCUUCUUGUUAGGUAUGGAUGUAUUUAUUCAGGUAGGAUGGUCUAAAGUGACCAUUGAAAACUAGGAUCAUAGGCAAAAGAGUUUCCCAUUUCUGAUGAGAGUAUAUGUUCAUCCAUGCAGUUCAGAACCACCAGAGCAGCAUCAGGCUUGAACAAAUAUGAUAAUACUGCCUGCUUAAAAUAAUAGCCUGGCUUGGUCCACCUGACUCCUGCUGAGCUAACUGACUUACUGCGAAGCACUGUACUGAAGACUUCCCCACCCUGAACUGCUGGAGAAUUUGACACACAAAUGCAACUUAGGGUUCAGUGCAGGGUGUAAAUCCUGUGGUUGCCAGCAUUUUAAUAUAUUCAAAGAUGGACCUUGCAGUUAAUCUGGGAAAAGAUGAGAAUGUGCUGAAUGUGUGUGGUGUGCACUUCAGUACAUAACUCACAGUUAAACUAAUGGAUUGCACUAAGUUGAGUAUUGUGAUGAGGUAACACUAGGUGUGGACCCCUCUCCACACCACUAAUCUUGGAUGGAUCUAUUUUUGUAUGUGUUCAAGUAAACUUGAGCUGGUAGCUGGCAGUGUUUUUCUGGCAA